rnacentral:lncRNA from 1 species
UUGGCUGAAGCUUGGCUGGGAUGUCUGAUGGAGCGGAAUGGCUCUCUGUCUCAUCGAUCCUAGGAGAAGCUCGGAUAUUUUUGAGGUUGCUAACGGGUCUACUAUAUUUGGGUGCCUAGAGCGCUGAUGCUGCAGGCAGGAGUCAUACGUUGUAGAAGCUCGGAUGGGGACUUUCUGUUGGGAAAGUCUGAUUUCAUGAAAAAUCUGGUAGAGGGUCGGCCGGUGGUGGACUUCGGGUGGUGUUGGAGAGGUUCGUCCGCUGGAGGAGUCUGGAGGAUCCUGUGGAAGUCCGAAGGGCGUUGUUGAAGUC